AGACGAACGCUGGCGGCGUGCUUAACACAUGCAAGUCGAACGCGAAAGGGACUUCGGGUCCUGAGUAAAGUGGCGCACGGGUGAGUAACGCGUAGAUAACCUGUCUUCAUGUCUGGAAUAAUACGCCGAAAGGGGUACUAAUACCGGAUAUUCUUGCUUUUCAUAAGUUAUGCAAGCAAAGGUGGCCUCUGCAUAUGCUACUGCAUGAAGAGGGGUCUGCGUACCAUUAGCUAGUAGGUGGGGUAAUGGCCUACCUAGGCGACGAUGGUUAGCGGGUCUGAGAGGAUGAUCCGCCACACUGGCACUGGAACACGGGCCAGACUCCUACGGGAGGCAGCAGUGAGGAAUAUUGCGCAAUGGGGGAAACCCUGACGCAGCGACGCCGCGUGAGUGAAGGAAGGCCUUCGGGUCGUAAAGCUCUGUCAAGAGGAAAGAAGUGUACAAUGGCUAAUACCUGUUGUAUUUGACGGUACCUCUAAAGGAAGCACCGGCUAACUCCGUGCCAGCAGCCGC
rnacentral:rRNA from 1 species